rnacentral:rRNA from 1 species
UACGAAGGGGGCUAGCGUUGCUCGGAAUUACUGGGCGUAAAGCGCACGUAGGCGGAUUGUUAAGUCGGGGGUGAAAUCCUGGAGCUCAACUCCAGAACUGCCUUUGAUACUGGGGAUCUCGAGUCCGGGAGAGGUGAGUGGAACUCCGAGUGUAGAGGUGAAAUUCGUAGAUAUUCGGAAGAACACCAGUGGCGAAGGGCGGCUCACUGGCCCGGUACUGACGCUGAGGUGCGAAAGCGUGGGGAGCAAACAGG